GUCCCGGGUAGCCUAGUGGUCAUGGCAUCUGCCCGGUAAGCGGAAGGUCGUGGGUUCGAUUCCCGCUCCUGGACA